rnacentral:lncRNA from 1 species
UAGUGAAGUCUAGUUGCUUUGGGGAAUAUUUUAUAUGUAUAUGAGAGGAAAACAAUCUUCCAGUUGUGCCAUAAAGCCUAUUAUUCAUAUAAUCAUGGGAAUUGUCCUUCUUUUCUCCACCAGACAUUUGUUAAAGGCCUUCUACACCCCAAUUACUGUGUUGAGCCUUCCUGUAAGAUGAAGAUGAGCAUCCUUAGUGAUGAGCCUGAAGGGACUUCUAAGGAAGAGGCCAAAAGGAACCUGCCAAUGGCAGAUGAUAUCCCAGGAGCAGAUAAGGAUGCAGUCAGGAAUGAUUCAGUGGUGAGAAUCAGGCUGCAUCACUGGAACUGCACUUCAUGUUGACAUAAGAAAUUUGCAGAAUUUGGAAAAUGGAGC